rfam:Lupinus angustifolius cultivar Tanjil chromosome LG19, whole genome shotgun sequence.
AUUCCUAAUACGUUUAAGAAAGCAGAGUGGUUAGGGACUUAGGGCCAAAGAGAUUAUUGAUUUGAGGGUAUUUGGAGAGGUAGCAUAACAAACUUAAUGUGGUACUUAAGUUAUGAGACUCUCCCACCUAACUUAGACAGUGAGACGAUGGGGGAUAAGCUUCAUUGUCAAGAGGGAAACAGCCUAGAUCGCCAGCUAAGGCCCCUAAAUGACCGCUCAUUGAUAUAGGAGGCAGGAGUACAGAGACAACUAGGAGUUUGCCUAGAAGCAACCACCCUCGAAAGAGUGCGUAAUAGCUCACUGAUCGAGCGCUCUUGUGCUGAAGAUGAACGGGGCUAAGCGAUCUACCGAAGCUGUGGGAUGUAAAAAUUUAUCGGUAGGGGAGCAUUCCAGCUUAGAGGGAAGGACCCGCGCGAGUAGUGGUGGACAAAGCGGAAGCG